GACGAACGCUGGCGGCGUGCCUAAUACAUGCAAGUAGAACGCACAGUUUAUACCGUAGCUUGCUACACCAUAAACUGUGAGUUGCGAACGGGUGAGUAACGCGUAGGUAACCUGCCUGGUAGCGGGGGAUAACUAUUGGAAACGAUAGCUAAUACCGCAUAAUAUUGAUUAUUGCAUGAUAAUUGAUUGAAAGAUGCUAUUGCAUCACUACCAGAUGGACCUGCGUUGUAUUAGCUAGUAGGUGAGGCAACGGCUCACCUAGGCGACGAUACAUAGCCGACCUGAGAGGGUGAUCGGCCACACUGGGACUGAGACACGGCCCAGACUCCUACGGGAGGCAGCAGUAGGGAAUCUUCGGCAAUGGACGAAAGUCUGACCGAGCAACGCCGCGUGAGUGAAGAAGGUUUUCGGAUCGUAAAGCUCUGUUGUAAGAGAAGAACGGGUGUGAGAGUGGAAAGUUCACACUGUGACGGUAUCUUACCAGAAAGGGACGGCUAACUACGUG
rnacentral:rRNA from 1 species